rnacentral:snoRNA from 1 species
AAGGCUAUACUUUCAGGGAUCAUUUCUAUAGUAGGUGUCUUCUUCUUAACCCACCUUCAUGUUCCCUGGUACGCCAAACUGUGUUAUAUGAAAAACUACAAUUCCCAGCCUGCACUGCUACCUGGAGU